rnacentral:rRNA from 1 species
UACGUAGGCAGCAAGCGUUGUUCGGAGUUACUGGGCGUAAAGGGUGCGUAGGUGGCUCUAUAAGUAUGGUGUGAAAUCUCCCGGCUUAACUGGGAGGGUGCGCCGUAGACUGUGGGGCUAGAGUGUGGGAGAGGAAAGUGGAAUUCCUGGUGUAGCGGUGAAAUGCGCAGAUAUCAGGAAGAACACCCGUGGCGAAGGCGGUUCUCUGGAACGCAACUGACGCUGAGACGCGAAAGCGUGGGGAGCAAACAGG